UUUCUGAUCACCAGUCCCUUUCUCUUUGAUCAAAUCUCCUGUGUCUCUUGGGGCCAGGUUAGUGGCACUAACUCACUGAAUGCUUUUUGUUUUGAGACUGAAUUUCGCUCUUGUUGCCCAGGCUGGAGUGCAAUGGAAUGAUCUCGGCUCACUGCACCCUCUGCUUCCUGGAUUCAAGUGAUUCUACUACCUCAACCUCCUGAGUAGCUGGGAUUACAGACAUGCAACAUGAUCGACUAAUUUUGUAUUUUUAGUAGAGACGGGGUUUCUCCAUGUUGGUCAGGCUGGUCUCGAGCUCUUGACCUCAGGUUAUCCAUCUGCCUUAGCCUCCCAAAGUGCUGGGAUUAUAGGCGUGAGCCAAUGCGCCUGACCUGGAUGCUUAUGUUUAUGAGGCUUUGGGGGGUAGGUAGAUGAACCUUGCUGGUUCUCCUGCCCUGGCUGUCUCCUCUUGUUUCAUAUUUUGUGGUAAACUGGAAGAUUAGACCCAGAAUUUGACACCAAAGCCUGAUGACACAUGGGACAGUGCCUGGCCACCGAACCUGCCCUCAGAGCAGGUGGCUAGAGGCAGGAAAUAAAAGGAUGCUGCUUAGGCAACGGAGUGUGCUCUCUCUGUCUAAAGCCAUCUGCCUUAUACCCAUCCCAAAUGGGGGCUUGACUGGGGCGUCCUCCACUAUCCCCUCAGACUCCACCAUCUUUACUGGGGACUUUGGCCCCUGUAAAUUCUUGCAACAUAUGAAAUGCCCAGUGGAAAUGUAAAAUAAUCAUGUCAUCUUUCACACAUUUAUGGUAUGUUGGCAAUGUUUCUAAUAGGCACUAAGGGACAAGAGUUUAUCUUUCUAUCUUACAUCCCAUAAAUCUCUUCCUUUUUUUCAUCCCUAGUGUAAAUUGUGCUUAGACCAAUAACACAUUUAAAAUUAUGAAGCUUUUCAUCACUACGGAGAUGCUCUUGCCUGUGAUAGGAAUGAUAGCUACAUCUGAAGCUGAGCAAAUUUAUUUUUUCUCUUCGUCUGCAUCAGGGUGACCUCUGGAAGGUAAGUGGAAGAUUUUCACUUAGCUGGGCACAGGCUUUGUUCAAGGCAUCUGCUUGUGAGAGCCAGUGUGUUUAAGUGGGAGGUUUGGGCCUAGGAGAGAGCUGGGCAAUCUGUGUCUCUGUUCUUCCUUAGAGUUUCUUUUUCAGACUCCAGGCUGAGGGCAAGUCAUCUGAGCUCUCUCAUAGCAGUGAGGAACCUGGGUUGUGUAAAUAUAGGUCAAUUAUUUAACCUGUCUGUGCCUCAGUCUUCUUUGGGGAUAAUAAUAGCUCUAUAAGUUCAUCGUGAGGUUCGAAAGCACUAGAACAUGUAAAGAGUUCAGCACAGUGCCUGGCGCAUAAAAAGCACUUUUAAGUGGCAGCAGCAUCAUGAUCAUGAUUGUUUCUAUCCUCUGGUUUCCAUGUGGCAGCUUUUGCCCUGCCAGGUCCCUAGAGCUGCUGGAGGAAUCCAUGCACCAUAAAUAUUGCUGCACCUCUGGCUAUGGUGCCAUGAAUCUUCAUCUCAGUCUCUGCCUCUUGGGCAAGGAAUAAGCAUGGGAAGAAUUAGUGACAAACUGGCAGAAAUUCCAAUCCCAGGCGUAGAUGGAGUCCUCGGACAGUUCUUGCCUCUUCAUUCCACUGCUGACUGCUGUCUCUCACUCUCAGCCUGCCACACCUGCACAGCAUCAUGGACGGUUGCCAGAGCAGUCUGCAGAGGGCUCUUUCCACCCUCCGCCAAGCACUUGAGCUCCAUUGAGUCUUUCUUUCUGCCCACACACCUCUAGAAGGUGCAGACCCAGGGUGGAAAUAACCCCCUUUUUCUAGCCAUAAUGAGAUGUUUAUUAAGUAGUUAUUUCUCCCCAGAUUUUACCCAUAUCUAAUUGGAGGAUUCAUCUUGUCCCCUUUUUCAGAAGUACAACCUUAUCUACCACUUUCUGCAGUGUUCCUUCAUUCUCCUUGAGGCUAGCUCCUGUUCCCAAAUGUGUAGGAGACAUCUCUAUUCCCAUCUCCAUCAAAUAUUGGAUUUUUUUUAAUCGAAGGUUAUGUUAAGAUAUUUUCUUCCCCGCUCCAGAUAAGACACAUGCCAUACAAUCAGGCCGUCCUUAAAGCACUUGCCCUUCUCUCUGGGGGGAAAGGUGAAUGCCAUGCCAAUCUCCCUCUCAUCUGACCUCACUGCUUCAAGUUCCUUAUUUGCAAAUGUUAUCAGACAUUCAUUCAUUGUAGAAGCUGAAGAACUGCUUUAGAUGGUGUCUGAGUUGGAGCACGGUGAAUCUCCCUCUAGGGCUUCAGGGUCUGCUUUCUCUUCUCUUUCUGAGUUGUUGAGUAAGCCCUGAGAACAGCUUGCAUUUUCCUCCCUUAGGAACCAGAUCCAGUGUAGAAACUAUAGUUCUGCUUUUAAAAAUGAUGGCAUAUCAUAUGUGUUGACGUUUCUUCCUCAUCAUGGUUCUCCCACCAUUUAUCUAUCUAUCAAUUACUCUAUCAUCUAUCGAUGGCUUCUUGCUGGCUACAUGCUUACAUCUGAGCCAGAGUACUUUCACUAAAGAGCAGAUGUGCCAAGAUAUGACUUAUCAGUGAACAAUGGCCUGGUUUUUGCCAGAUUCUGUUUGCUCUCAACAAGUGGAAUUGGACAUCCCUUUGGUAGCAAGAUGCAUUACAGAAGUGCCUAGAAAUGCACAGAGAGGAUUAUUACUGAAGCUAAUAUAAGUCAAUAGAAAAAAGCAUGGGCAAGGCUCAGAAACAGAGGAAACACCUUUGUCUAAAAAAGGUUGGAUAUGGCUAAGUGGUGAUCAAUACUUGCAAGAUUAAAAAGGAUGCCCAUCUUCGAUUCCUCUCUCUUUUGCAACCCUAUGUCCAGUUGGUCACUGAGUUUUGUUGUCCUUUCUUCACUUCAUAAUAUCUCUUGCAUUUCUUUCUUUCUUUUCCUUCCUACUGUACUCCAGCCCUGGUUAGAGUCUUUUUAUCUCAUGUGUGGUCCAUUGUAAUAGCUUUCCAGCUGCCUGUACAUAUUUUCUCUUCAAAAAUCGCCAUAAAACUGCCAUUGGAUUAAUCUUAUAAAAGUACUAUUUCUGGCUGGGCAUGGUGGCUUGCACCUGUAAUCUCAGUGUUUUGGGAACAUAGUCAAGGCAGGAGGGUCGCUUGAGGCCAUGCGUUUGAGACUAGCCUGGGAAACAUAGUGACCCCCUCUCUAAAAAGAAAUAAAAAGCUAUCCAGGCUUGGUAGUGUAGUCUUAGUUACUCGGGAGGUUGAGGUUGGAGGAUGGCUUGAGCCUGGAAGUCCCAGGCUGCAGUGAACUGUGGUCACACCACUGCAUUCCAGCCUGGGUGACAGAGUGAGACCCCGUCUCCAAAAACUAACCAGCUAGCUAAAUAAAUAAUGCUUUCUCAAAACUUAGUUACCGUAAUUCUCCAAUUUCCCUCUAAGAAGAUAACCACAAUUCUCGUUGUAUAGCAUUAGAACCCUUCAUGAUGCAGCUCUCCAAUUUAUUCAUCUUUCCCGUCAUUCUUUAAUCCCGUCAUUAAACCUCCGCUUCUGCCAAAUGGAGAAGUGCCAAACCUCUGCUCAUCUAAAAUUUUCUUAUGCCAUUCCAGUUUCUGGAUACACCCUUCCUUUUCCUUUCUGCCUUUCCAAAUCUUCCCCCAUUCCUUGAGGUGUGGUCAAAUCUCACGCCCAGCUUGAAAUGACCACUCUCCUCAGAAUAUCCUGAGACAUUAUUUUUAAUAUAAUUAAUUUUGAGCACUCAGCAAACAUUGUCCCAUGACUUUUUCCCUAGUGUUUUGAGUUGCUGCCUAACUUUCAUAUGCGUACCUCUCACCGUAUGUCCUGUGUGGUGAGCUCCUCAGGAUACCCUGGUUGACUCGUAUUCUAACUUCCUUCCGAAGCAUCUUGCAUGAGCUUGCACUAAUAAGGCAUUCAAUAAUGUUGGACUUAAUUAACAGAAGAAAAAGCAACUUUCAAGACAAACUAGUUAGGCCAUUUUAAUCAUCAGCAAAGUUGACAGGUCUGGAAUUUUAUUCCUGUGCAUGUUGAAGUUGUGCCUGUUGAGAUGAGGGCGAGUGUGUUUUUCAUAGCAUUAUAUGUCUGGAAAGAAUCUUGUGAGGUCAUCUUGACCAGUUUCUUGGCUCUAAGUCCUCAGAGACAAAAAGAGAUCUAUCAUAUGCUCAAAGAACCUAGAGAGAAAAUUCCUCAGUAUAUUGGAUAAUUAAGUCUCAGGGUUGUAUCAACUCUCCCUGUAACAGUUCUCUCCACACACACACAGCUGUCACUCCAGGCCAAUGUCCUAAAAUUUCAGUGUACUCAAAUUUGCUAAACUCCUACAGUGUAUGUUUAAAUGUAGGCUUCCAGGCCCACUCCGAAGAGUAACAUUCACUCAUUCUGGAGUUGGGGGCACAUGAAUCUGAAAUAUAUAGAUUCAAUUUACAUGUAAUAUAUAUCAGGUGAUUCUGAUGCAGGUGGUCUGCAAAACACACUGUGAGAGAAAAAAUAAGUUGUUCUGAUUUAAUUUUUUAAAAUUUUGGUUUAAGCAUAUUCAUUCCAGGACCAUUUCCCAUGAACAUUAAACAAAACAGCUGAUUAAUAGUUUUUAUUAAUGAUUGCAUGUCCUUACAUACACAUUUUUAGCCUCGUGUAUAUUAAGGUCUCUCUAUAUUAAGUUGAACUUGAUGUUCAACACAUUUACUGAGCACCAAUAUGCCAGGCAUCAUAGUUAUCAACAUGAACGACUUAAGUACUGAGGUAGAUUGAUCCUCAUUCUUAGGAAGCUCAUAGUUUAGUGGGAAAGUAAAAAACUGUGAUAAUGAUGCUGAUGAUCUAUUACCUUUCAUCCAAAGUUUGUAGACAUUAUAUAUGUUUGUGGCAGUCAAGCAGGAGCCGAGAAUUGGGGUUUGUUGUUGGUGGCACUAGGCAGAAAGAGUAUGUAACUUGCCCCUUGCUCUGGCUCCUGACUGUGCCUCUAGGGCUAAUGAAUGCCAUCACCCCAUCACUCCAACAGCUUUCCAAGAGCAAUGAGCAUUAGUCAGUCAGUCUACUAUGCCUUACUGAACAUUUGGAAUGAUCAGCACUCUGUAAGGCAUUUGCAGAGGAUGUAGCUCCCUUCCCAUGCCCCAGACUUCACCACAAUAGUUCUCCAGUCCUUCCCCAUUCAUUUGGAUCCCUGUGAUUUCCCUGCUACCAACACCAAAGGCUGAGUGCCCUCUGCAUUCAUAAAGUAUUUAGUGAGUACUCCACUGUGCAAGGCACUUGCCAAAUGAUGUGAUGAAUAUAAAAAUGAAUGAAACACAGAUUCUGCUCUUAAGGAACUUACAGUCUAGUGCUGAGAUGCAUCAUGUACUAGUCACAAAGUAGACAUAAGCAAAUAUACCAUGGGGUUGCUUCCAGCCAGGAAUGGGAGCAAGAGGGCUGAAGGUAUAGGAGCAUUGUGCAAAUAGGAGGUGAAUUUGGGAUGGAGGUAUUGAAGGACGUCUGGUGAAGAUGGCCAGCAAGUAGUUAGAGAACGUGUGACUGGAGCCUGGAAGGAGGGAAAGGUAAGGGACACUGGUGUCAUAUGAAGCAGGACUGGAUUCUAUUGUCUAAAGAGUGCAGCAGGCAGGAGAAGGGGAAUUAAAACACAAGAGAGGUGACUAAGAAACACUGUCUUUUCUAAUUAUACCUCAAUUUAAUCACUGAGAGGUUGAAUUUGUAGUGUUUGAAAGAUGAAUUAAAACAUUCUAUUUCCUGAUUUAACUCAGAAAAUACAUUUUCAUUUUUUCCUUGCCCUUUCUUGGGGGAUGGGCUUUGAAUCUUUCCAUGUAUUUGACCAGUGUCUCUACUAGACCUGUGAAAGAGAGGCUUUUUGUACUAGAGUAGUGCGUGUGUGUGUGUGUGUGUGUGUGUGUGUGUGUGUGUGUUUUAAUUCAGGAGAAAAUGGAAGGAACUACAGAUGGAAGAAAGGAAAGAGAACAAGGUCCCUGCUUAUGGACACCUCUGUUUGCUGAUGAUUAAGGAGAAACAUUGUGGAUUCUGCCUGUGACCUGAUUUAGGUGAAAUGCAUUCUUUAUAAGGCUGGGCUUGCUCUCAGGGCUUCGAAGGACUCCAUGUUGAAGACUUUCUAUCUUUGGCAUAUUAGAUUAAAACUGUAGUCUCCAAAACAGUGCCCUACAGUCUGUGCUGUGCUUCUCUCUCUGCUUGUGUCUCUAUAUCUUCUCUCCUUGUUUCUGCUAUAGAGUUUUGGGCUCAAUGAUAGUGGCUGCUUGAAUAGGAGCAGAGGAAAGUGAGGUGGAGGAAGAAAUAGCUAUAAGAGAAUCUAUAAGUCCGUUCUCACACUGCUAUAGAACUGCCCAAGACUGGCUAAUUUAUAAAGAAAAGAGGUUUAAUUGACUCACAGUUGCACAUGCUAUGCAGGAGGCAUGGCUGAGGAGGCCUCAGGAAACUUACAGUCAUGGAGGAGGGGUGAAGGGGAAGCAAGAACUUCCUACAUGGCAGCAGGAGAGAGAGAGUGAAGAGGGAGGUGCUUCCCACUUUCAAACAACCAUAUCUUUUGAGACCUCUAUGAGGAGGCAGCACCAAGGAGAUGGCACUAAACCAUUAGAAACCACCCCAUGAUCCAAUCACCUCCCACCAGGCCCCUCCUCCAACACUGACGAUGACAACUCAAGAUGAGAUUUGGGUGAGGACACAGAGCCAAACCAUAUCAGAGAAUAACACCAAAGUGUUGAUCUGAAAAUUGUCUUAGAGUAACAGUUUAGGCACAGGCAAAUUAAAAUCCUGUGUGUAAUCCUGUUUGGGUGUAUUUGCAUCUCUUUAAGUUAUUUCAUACAACUGGAUAUCGUCCUCAGAGGGGGACUUAGUGGAGCUCAUGGCCAGAGUACCUAGCAGAUUUUCAAAGACCUUGUGACUUAUGUUUACUUGCUUGGCAAUGAUGUUCCUGCAAGGGGCAUUAGACCUUGUCUUCCACAGAGCAAUUUAGGACCAUCAGUGUUACAGAGGCUCCAAUCAGCUUGCACAGGUAAGCCAACUAGUAUUUGCUGAUGCAUAGCUAAAAGAAGGGUGAGCAUGAGGCCGGGGCUCUGCAUUCCAGAUCUGUGUGCAGAGACUCUCCCUGAGCCACGUUCAGUGCAGCUGUGGGUGAGAGGUGAGCUGCUGGCUGCUGAAACACCCCAUUUGGUGAAGCAGGCCUUUGUUUGAGAUCACACCGGGAGUGAAAGCAGGUUAUCAUCGCUAUACCCAGUGGUCUGACAGAACAAACGGAAGAGCUCGGUGAGGUGAGGAGAGGUGAGAGAGGUGAGGAAAAGAUUAGCGAGGCUCAAAUGGGAUAAUUGGAAAAAGCAGGGGCAGGCAGUAAAUUAUGCCUCUUUUACUUGGCUUAGUUAUCAUAUCACCUGAAUGGGUGAAAUAGGUCAGCAACCCAUGGAUGAAAAGCAAACUCAGGAAGGGUCAUGGAGGUGAGCUAAGAACUGAGCUCCGAGGACACUUUUGGGAGCCCUCGGAAAUGGUGUUGCUGGAUUUUCUUGCUUAGAAAGAGAAACAGGACAGAAUAAGUCAACACAGUCUUCUGUGAUUAUCUGGAGGUCUUUUUCGUGUUGUUAGAACCUAGACCUGUCAGUAGGAAACAGGUUGAAAAGUCUCACAAAUGAAGAGGCAAACAAAGCACAGGAGUGGUAAUUGUUUUGUUUUUUUUUAAGACAUAGAGUCUUGUGCGGUUGCCCAGGCUGGAGUGCAGUGGUACAAUCACUGCUCACUGAAGCCUCAAACUCUGGCAAUUCUUCUGCCUCAGCCUCCUGAGCAGCUGGGGCUACAGGCAUGCACCAUGCCCAGCUAAUUUUCAAAAUUCCUUUUAGAGACGGGGUCUCACCAUGUUGCCCAGACUGGUCUCGAAUUUCUGGCUUCCAGUGAUCAUUCCUCCUGAGCCUCCUGAGUUGCUGGGAUGACAGGUGCCUGCCACCAUGCCUGGAAGGAAGUGGUGCUGAAUGUGGGUUCUGGACUGCUUGCUUUUGCCUCCCACCCAACCUGCAACCUUGUUCGGUAACCUUAGGAAGUUACUUUGCCUCUUUGUGCCUUGGUUUCCUCAGGGGUGACAGGGAAAUAAUUGUACCUGGACCUUCAUAUAUAUAAAGCUCUUAGUUCCUAGCAGUUAGAACACAAUCAAAAAGGCUAGCUGAGAAACACUUGAGAGCAUGGUUUCAAUCCCGUUGAGGUCAUUUUGGACAUUUGCACAGACUUCUUAUGGUUGUUACAAGGAUAGCGGUUCUACGAUCAUUUAGUGGGUGGAGGCCAACAAAAUAACUUAUCCUAUAUCCCACAUGACUUUCGAGUGUUCUAUUACACAUCCCGAUAGGUGAAAAACUUAAUAUUAUUGGAACUUAGAAUCUAAUUCGGUUUUUAAAAAUUUCAUGAGUUCUUUUCGAAUUGUUUUAACAUACACUCAAUUUUGCACGAUCAUACCCAUCGAGAUUAUCCUGUGCUUUGUUUACAGUGCUGUCAGGAGUUGUUCCCCAUUUUAGAAAAUCACCUCACCGAUGACAAAAACAACAACUUGUCGGAGCUGCAUUUGUAACUAUUGUGUUCCCAGGGCCUCUAUGCAUCUGUGAGGCCUUGUGACUUGAUUGUAGCCAUGCCUGGGCGCAUAUAUAUAUAUAUAUAUAUAUAUAUAUAUAUAUAUAUAUACACAUUAUUUUAUUAUAAAUAAUGCUGUGUCUCUUUUCAUCAGUUAGGGCAUUUGUUGAUUUGUUUUUGAAAUGUGUGAGGAUGAGUUAUGCAUAUUAAUUUUAUUGAGGGUAUUAAAAGGACAGUAUAAAACAGUUGUUUUAAAAAGGAAGUGUUAGCUCUGAUAGAUUUUUGGAGUUAAGCUCAGCAUAAUCAUAAUGGGGGUAGUUCCCAACAGUUGUUCCCUGAGUCAAGGAAAUCAGAACCCAAAGAAAGGGUGUUUCACUUGCUCUCAAUUUGCCUCUGUUUUUGUUUGUUUGUUUGUUUUUCUUUUUGAGACAGAGUCUUGCUCUGUCACCCAGGCUAGAGUGCAGUGGCAUGAUGUUGGCUUACUGCAACUUCUGCCUCCUGGGUUCAAGCAUUUCUCCUGCCUCAGCCUCCCAAGUAGCUGGGAUUAGAGGUGCCCACCACUGCGCCCGGCUAAUUUUUGUAUUUUAGUAGAGAUAGGGUUUCACCGUCUUGGCCAGGCUGGUCUUGAACUCUUGACCUCAGGUGAUCUGCCUGCCUCAGCCUUCCAAAGUGCUGGGAUUACAAGUGUGAGCCACGGUGCCCGGCCGCCUCUGUUUUCUUUUAGCUGGGUAUCCAAAUGCUUAUGUGGUGGUCAGAGCAUUUUGGUAUAUUGCUUGUACCUUCUGUUAAAAGAAAAACUUCAGCUGCGCUAAAAUUAGAAAAGUUUAAUUGAACAAUGAACAAUUUGUGAAUCAGGCAGCCUCCUGAGCGACUGUAGGCUUAGAGACUCUAGCACAGCCAGGUGGAGGAAGAAGAUAUGGACAGAAAAGGGAAAGUGACUUACAGAAAAUGGAAGUGAGGUCCGGAAACCACUGGACUGGUUAUAGCUCAGCAUUUGCCUUAUUUGAACACGGUCUAAAUGUUUGACCACAUCUGAUGGAUCAAAACUUGGUAAUUGGCACAAGAGUAGACUACAGGUUUUUUACACUUCCAUUUAGGCUAUAGUUCACGAUAUACAGAGAAAUCUGUAGCUUUCGGCUAAACUUGACUGACCACUAACCUCAAUGAUCUUGAAGUCUAGUUCAUGGAUCAAGAUGUGACCAUCUGUUCAGUCUUUGGAGCACACUUAACUUCAAGAGGAAAGACCAUCUUUUGUGCAUGUGAACUCUACUCUCUCCCAUUGUGGGAGCUAGAUCACACCAGAAAGCCUCUUUUCCAGGGCUUUGUGGGAAGACUGAGGCAGCCAGGGCUGGAGGACCUAAUUUGGCAAAGGUGCCCUCUGCUCUGUCAAGGACUGUCUCCCCAGCUGAACCAUGGUCUCAAGGGCUCCUGCUCUCUGCUGGGUAAGCCUGGUACAAUUAAUUCUGAGGCCCAAUCUUUGAUUUCAUGGCUCUUAAGUUCUGUUGUUUGGGGAGGGAGAGCAUCUAUUUACUCUUUGACAUGGGGAAAGAGGAAAAUGGAGCAGCUGCAGAAAAACUUUGUGGGUAAGAAUGUCAUACCUAGAAGAUGCUUGUGUUGCCUGAUAGCCAUGGGGAAGAUGGCGAGUAGAGUCAGCUUUGUUGGGGGUGUGAGUCAGCUUGGGCUGCUGUAACAAAAAUACCAUAGACUGGGUGGCUUAUAAACAACAGAAAUGUAUUUUUCACAGGUCUGGAGGCUGGAAGUAGCAGAUCAGAGUGCUAGCAUGGUCAGGUUCUGGCGAAGGCCCUUUUCUGUGUUGGUAGUUAAAAAGAGGGCUAAGAGCUCUCUGGGGCCCCUUUUUAUAAGGGCACCCCAGAGAGUGAGGUGCUUACACCUUCAUUAACUAAUUAUCUCCCAAAGGCUCCAUUUCCUAAUGCCAUCACGUUGGAGAUUAGGAAGGACCUCAACAUGAAAUCUGAGAGGGCAUGAUCAGUCUCUAAUGUGGGGAUAGAGCCUGAGUUCAGUUUCUGUUAAUGCAUUAGAAUAUAUUAGUGGUAAAGGCAUUACAGUCUAGACUGACAAAAUCAAGACAAAAAUCAAGAGCUAUUAAAUCUUUCAAGAUUUAAUCUGGACUGGGGGUGAUGGCUUUCGCCUAAAAUUCCAGCACUUUGGGAGGCCGAGGUGGGUGGAUCUCCUGAGGUUGGGAGUUCAAGACCAGCUGGCCAACAUGGAAAAACCCCAUCUCUACUAAAAACACAAAGUUAGCUGGGCGUGGUGGUGCAUGCCUGUAAUCCCAGCUACUCGGGAGGUUGAGGCAGGAGAAUCGCUUGAACCUGGGAGAUGGAGAUUGUGGUGAGCCGAUACUGCACCGUUGCACUCAGCCUAAGCAACAAAACGAAACGCCAUCUAAAAAAAAGCUGUAUUCAGAAAUGUGCUGGUUCCCAAAGAUUGUUUUCCUGUGUUUAGGUACUAUAAGAAAAUAGAAGGGGGAAGGGUGAAAGGGAAAAAGUAAGGGAGGGAGGAAAUUUUUGAGAAAAACUAUUAAUUAGGAUUGAGAGAUCUAUAAAGUCUCUGCCUGGGGCUGGUUGUAUUUUCAAAGUUGUCCACAGCAAUCACUCAUCCUACAAGCUCUUCUGCAAAGAGGUGGAAGCUCCCUCCCUUCCCUCUUGAAUUGGACCUAUCAUGAGAGCAAAACACCACUUUCUGCUGGAAAAGAGAAAAGGAUAGAAUAUUUCUAUGGCAAGAAAGAAGGUUAUUUGAUACCAAACCCAGACCACACCCACUAGAGCUGGAGUUCAGCUUACAGAAAUGGAUCUAAGACCAAGUCAAAUCAAUAAAGACACUGGUACGCUAUGGUUCCAGCCUUCACCCAGUGACGCUGAGACUCUGUGAGGCAUCCUGAGCUCCGGGAACCUCCUCCUCCCUUUCCUCUGCCCUGCGGCGGUGUCAGCUUCCUGUCUUUGCAGUCUGGAUUCCUCACCACCCCGUGGCUGGCCUCUCAGCUCCUCCAUCCCUUGUGUAAUUGAUCCCUGCAUCAAAGUCCUGUUUGGAAUUCUCUGGUGGUUUCUGUUUCUUGGUUAGAUUCUGACUGAUACACUGGCCUUGGGAGCUGGUCAGCUCUGAUUCCUGGAAGAGAGCUGCUAAGGACCGGCCUGGGGAUGCCUUGCUGAGAGAGGUUUGUGGGGAAACAAGCCGACUUCAGGACAGCUGAGUGUGUGGCUUAUUGGACCCCAUCCUCUCCAGAACUACAUAAACUGUUAUCUUAAGGGAGGGACUUUAAUGGAGAAAUUGCUUUGGGAUGCGGUGAAGAAUUCACUAAAACAGAAGCAUCAAUGACACCAGAGAGCAGAGAAAGCUCAAGUCCACUUAGUUUCGAAAUAACCAAGUGUUCUGGUGGGAGCUCAUUCAUCACUGAAUUACUGUGGCAUUCUUGGGCCCCAUAAAAUGUGUGUACCUUGUGUCUGGUUCAAAUAGAACAGAGAAUAAUGGAGUGAGUCCGUCUAAUUUAAUAUUCUUAUAUUUCCACCACAUCAAAUUCCCACUAGGACAAAUGUAUACAAAUGAAUCAUUAUAAUUUUUCCCCUUUUCCCCUAGCUGAGCCACUUGGGCCUCUUCUAAGAAAUGAUGAUAAAAGUGAUGAAAACAAAGCAUCACAUUAUAAUGUCAUUUUAAAAAAUAAAAGAUUUCCAGGAGAUCCUUUGUUGUGUUGAAACAACACAAGCUGCAUGUUUAAAUGACUUUUUGUUUUCCCUCUUGGAUAAUCACAGAGAGUAAUGUAACCAAAAUAAUCUUUGACUGCUGCUGAGGUCAUCAUUUACUUCCUGCUGACAUGUUGAGCUGGUCAGAGAGCAUGGGAUCUCAAAGGGAGUACAGUCCUGGAGAUACCAGAGAAGGUGUCAUUCAGACUGCUGGUGCUUCCCUUGGAGACAACAGGGGCAUCAGGUUUGAAUCUUGUUGUUCAAGCUCCCAUCUCAAUACUGGAGACACAGAUGAGGAGCACACCUGUAUCCCAGGCAUUGUAGAUGACAGUGGGGGAGAGAAAUGCCAACUGGGACUGCGUCCUUGGGGGAUGCAAUUUUUUAUGCUGUGUAAUGAACCUGCAAUAGGGAGGAGCAUUUCAUUGUGGGUUUUACUGCACUAGACAAUUCUGACAGGUAUAUGGAUACUCAUUCCACCUCACAGUCGUGGGGAAGCUGCCUGGCUUCCAGUGAAAUAUAUUGGGGAAGAGGAUUCAGCAUCAAAAGUUGAGAAUGGAGAACAGCAGAGUACAAUUAUAAAGUCCUAGGUCAUUUGCUUAUUUGCUUUAUUCCCUUCACUAGAUACAGGGCUGCAACCACACAUGAUGAGAUAGUUUAGAAAUGUGGCCCACACAUUCUUUGGCACUCCUCCCAUUAAAAUGAGGGAUUCCCAUUUCCUGCUCUUGAAUCUGCGGAGAGGGUGGGGGAAGCUUGUGAGUGUUUUGACGACUAAUAGCGUACAGCGAAAGUGACAAAAUGGGACUUCUGGGGCUGGAUCAUAAAAGGCCAUGUAGCUUUCACCUUACUACCUGAAAUACUCUUUCAUAGAACCCUAAGCUGACAUGUAAGACAUCUGACUACCCUGAAGCCACUACAUUGGAAAGGUCACAUGGAGGAGCUCCAGCUGACAGUCUCAGCAGAGCCCAGUUUCAAGCCAUCCCUGCAAGGCAUCAGCCAUAUAAGUGAAUCAGCCUAGCUGCCAGUCAAGUAUCUUUGCACAGCUUCUAUCAAUGCCUCAUGAAAUGGAAGAUUGACUAGCCAAGCCUUGCCCAAAUUCCUGACCCACAAAAUCAUGAGAUAUAAUAAAAUUGUUGUUAUUUUAA